rnacentral:rRNA from 1 species
GCCUAACGGCUGAACCAGCAACUUGGAGGAAUGUAUAGCAAUAGCUAAUUGCAUCAAUGUUUAAAUAAUUGAUGCAAUAUCGACUCUGUCGAAUAAAAUUCUAGGUAGAAUUAUGAUAAUGACAUUGUCUGCCUAUGUGUCUUGACCAAAUUACGUGCCAGCAGUCGCGGUAAUACGUAGAAGACUAGUGUUAUUCAUCUUUAAUAGGUUUAAAGGGUACCUAGACGGUAAAUCAAGCCUGCAAUAUGGGACUAAUGUACUAGAGUUACUUACGAGGGGGUAUUAAAGUACUGCUGGUGUAGAGAUGAAAUUCUGUCAUACCUCAUUUCAUAAGAAAUACUAUGGCACAGGUAUAGGCGAAAGCAUCCCCUUAUGUGAUAACUGACGUUGAAGGACGAAGGCUUUGUGUAGCGAACAGGAUUAGAUACCCCAGUAGUCAAAGCAGAAAAUGAUGAAUGUCAUAGAUUAGACAUAUAAUAGUUUAUUCUAUAAAUGAAAGUGUAAGCAUUCCACCUCAAGAGUAAUUUGGCAACAUUGGAACUGAAAUCAUUAGACCGUUUCUGAAACCAGUAGUGAAGUAUGUUGUUUAAUUUGAUAAUCCGCAAAAAACCUUACCACAAUUUGAAUAUUUAGAUUUUUGUUUCUUUUUUAUUUUUUUUGUGUUUGUGUUGCGUUGCAUUACGUUACGUUAGCAUCAAAAAUAAAAAAAACAAGAAGGGAAGAGAAAUCCAUUUACAAGCGUUGCACGGCUGUCUUCAGUUAAUGUCGUGAGAUUCUGGUUAGUUCCAUUAAUUAACGUAAACCCUUACUUUAUUUUUAUAUAGAGUUGUUCCCCGCUAGAUUGGAUAAGAUAACAGGGACUAAGACAAGUCAUCAUGGCCUAAAUAUUGUGGGCUAUAGACGUGCCACAUAAACCUUACAAAAGGAUGUGAAAUUGUGAAAUUGAGCUAAUCCCCC